rnacentral:rRNA from 1 species
UACGAAGGGGGCUAGCGUUGCUCGGAAUUACUGGGCGUAAAGCGCACGUAGGCGGAUUGUUAAGUCGGGGGUGAAAUCCUGGAGCUCAACUCCAGAACUGCCUUCGAUACUGGCGAUCUCGAGUUCGGGAGAGGUGAGUGGAACUGCGAGUGUAGAGGUGAAAUUCGUAGAUAUUCGCAAGAACACCAGUGGCGAAGGCGGCUCACUGGCCCGAUACUGACGCUGAGGUGCGAAAGCUAGGGGAGCAAACAGG